GAUAGAGGCCUACCAUGGUGGUAACGGGUAACGGGGUGUUAGGGCACGACACCGGAGAGGGAGCCUGAGAAACGGCUACCACAUCCAAGAAUGGCAGCAGGCGCGCAAAUUACCCAAUCCCGACACGGGGAGGUAGUGACAAUAAAUAACAAUACGGGGUUCUUUCGGAUUUCGUAAUUGGAAUGAGUACAAUUUAAAUCUCUUAACGAGGAACAAUUGGAGGGCAAGUCUGGUGCCAGCAGCCGCGGUAAUUCCAGCUCCAAUAGCGUAUAUUAAAGUUGCUGCAGUUAAAAAGCUCGUAGUUGAAUUUCGGGACCAUCAUGUCGGUCGUGCCUCGGUACGUACUGGCAUUGUUGGUUUCUCCCUUCUGACGAACCAUGAUGUCAUUUAUUUGGUGUUGUGGGAAAUCAGGACUGUUACUUUGAAAAAAUUAGAGUGUUUAAAGCAGGCUCACGCUUGAAUACAUUAGCAUGGAAUAAUGAAAUAGGACGUUUGAUUCUAUUUUGUUGGUUUCUAGGAUCGACGUAAUGAUUAAUAGGGAUAGUUGGGGGCAUUAGUAUUCAAUUGUCAGAGGUGAAAUUCUUGGAUUUAUUGAAGACUAACUACUGCGAAAGCAUUUGCCAAGGAUGUUUUCAUUAAUCAAGAACGAAAGUUAGGGGAUCGAAGACGAUCAGAUACCGUCGUAGUCUUAACCAUAAACUAUGCCGACUAGGGAUCGGAUGAUGUUAUUUUUAAUGACUCAUUCGGCGCCUUACGGGAACAG
rnacentral:rRNA from 1 species